UAUGCGAAUUCCACGAAUACUAAAAACACUUUUUCUCGGUGUGAACCGUUCGCCGAAGGAGGAUCAGUGACCAAGAACGCGGAUACAAAAAAAGGGAAAAUCUGACGGAGGUGACAGUUGCGCUAACAGUAGUGUGAGUGUGGCAUCAGAACCUAACAUCGUUUUCACCACUACCGACAACCCGAGCAUUGGAGCCAAACAGUCGGUGAUUGUUUUGUGUCGGCGUCGAAAUCAGCAAAUUUUGGAAAGUGCAUCGAAAAGUGCAUCUGCGGAGGUCAACGAACUACCGAGUGUGAAGCCGUCGGUCAGCUGGUUGUAUUGUGUGCCGGUGGUGAACAAUAUUGAUUUGGUGCUGUUGGGUCGCAGAGCUGCUGCUGUUACGUGGAUAUUUUUUGAUCGAGUGCAACGAAGGAAAGCUUUUGUUUAUGGUGAAUGCUGCUGUGAGGAUUUUUUUUUGAGAAGUGCUUCGACGGAGAAAACUUUGAGCGGAUUUUGUUGCUGUGUGCUGUUUUCUUGACGAUUUGGAUUUGGAUUUGGUGGAGUGCAUUUGAUCUUGGAUCAUCGAGUGCAUUGUUUAAACAGCGCAGUGCCAGACUCUUAGACCGUUGACCGGCUGCAGAAUGAUACAGUGCGUGAGAAUAUGGACACAUUGAAUCUUCCGGUAUACAAUCCGAUCUGCUGCCGUCGGACAGGUGCCUCGAUCUUUUCCUGAAUACAUUCUAGGAACACUGCAUAGAGCCUGACCGGUGCGCCUGCUGAUACCGUCAGCGUUUCCGGAACGCUAUGAAUUGCGGAAAAAAACUGAUUCCUACCGAAUUAGCAGCACACGUAUUGGGAAUCUUUUUCGAAAGGGAAAAUAGGCCAGCCAGCAGUGUGAUCUCUUGGUAAACCAGCAGCAGCGGAUUCCCACUAAUCUACCUGGAGUUUCUGGAACGCAAUGGAAUGCACGAAGAGAAGGAUUUUUACCAAAUCAGGACACGCUGAACUUGUUCCGUAUACAUACAUCAUUUUCGAAGGGUGGUGGGGAACUUGGCGCAGACCUGUACCGUAGCAAUGCGCAUCGGAAGCAUAAGGAAACCGGAAGCAGCAGCUCUUGGCCCCCAUAACCGUCCAUGUAAUCAAUGAGAUGCGGAUGGUAAAAUCAUCAACAGAACUGGCAGGCAACAGCCGUGGAACCAGAUGUAAAUCAUCACCAUCCUACAUUCAUCGUGCAGCAAGCAGGAAUGCUGUCGGAUCAUAUUUUGCAUUACACACGCACAACAUAAAACGUGGCUUCUACUCUGUCAAAAAACAAUAUUGAGGGGAAAAUAUACAUAUUUAAAUAAAUAUCGUAGACGCCCCCGAAUGUCCCUGGUUGCUGUGGCAUCCUCAUCUUUGAUGGCUCAUUCUUUCUUCAGGUCUCAUCGGUAAUGCAUAGUUUUCUCUAUAGCUGAUGGGAAAAUGUCUGGUAGCAAAUAGCAAGCCUCGAUAAAAUUUACUAUAUUUCCGUAAACGCAUAAUAGUUGGAUUUAAAAAAAUAUCGAAUGACUAGGUAAAACCGUAACUGCUUCCAGACAUUGAACUGAAAUUCCGUUCUUAGCAAACCAUGAAACUUUGGUAACCAAUACCUUCUUCUUACUGGCAAUACACCCCCCACUGGGACAGAGCCGCCUCGCAGCUUAGUGUUCAUUAAGCACUUCCACAGUUAUUAGUGAGCUAGCUACCAAGCAAUCAAUGAACCAACCAACUAAUCAACCAAUCAAUUCACCAUUCAAGCAAUCAAUAAAACUAACCAACUAAUCAA